rnacentral:rRNA from 1 species
ACGGGAGGCAGCAGUAGGGAAUAUUGCACAAUGGGGGAAACCCUGAUGCAGCGACGCCGCGUGAGUGAUGAAGUAUUUCGGUACGUAAAGCUCUAUCAGCAGGGAAGAUAAUGACGGUACCUGACUAAGAAGCCCCGGCUAACUACGUGCCAGCAGCCGCGGUAAUACGUAGGGGGCAAGCGUUAUCCGGAUUUACUGGGUGUAAAGGGAGUGUAGGUGGUCUGGCAAGUCAGAUGUGAAAGCCCGCGGCUCAACCGCGGGACUGCAUUUGAAACUGUCAGACUGGAGUGCAGGAGAGGAAAGUGGAAUUCCUAGUGUAGCGGUGAAAUGCGUAGAUAUUAGGAGGAACACCAGUGGCGAAGGCGGCUUACUGGACGAUAACUGACGUUGAGGCUCGAAAGCGUGGGGAGCAAACAGGAUUAGAUACCCUGGUA